UUCUUUCAUCAGUUUGUUCCCUGUUUCUUCUCUAGCCUGAGCCUGACACACUAUUCUAGCUAGACAUGGGUGUGGCUCGUGACACCUGAUGACCAAAUGGAUCUACGGCACCGUCGAAUCUCAAACUUUAACUGCCAAAACUAUUGUUUUUCAUCCUGUAGUCCCUUUUAGAAUUACGAAACGUCCUUUUUUGGGCCAUGAUUUCCAGGAAUGCUUUCUCGGGGUUUGUGUGCACGUAUUUCAAACCAUACGGACCUAAAAAUUAGAAGUCAUUCCAUCUUUAUUCCCCUAGAGCCUUCCGGCAGUUCCUAAACUGCUCUAUUUGGAGCAUGUUAUCAUUCUUGUUAGUUCUGAGUGAAUUCCCUCGGUAUGAUCAUUCUUUCAUCAGUUUGUUCCCCGUUUCUUCUCUAGUCUGAGCCUAGCACACUAUUCUAGCUAUUAAUGGGUGUGGAUCGUAACACCUGAUGAGCAAACGGAUCUACGGCACCAUCGAAUCUCAAACUUUAACUGCCAAAACUAUUGUUUUUCAUUCUGUAGUCCCUUUUCGAAUUAUUAAACGUCCUUUUUUGGGCCGAGAUUUCCAGGAACGCUUUCUCGGGGUUUGUGUGCAUGUAUUUCAAAUCAUACGGACCUAAAAAUUAGAAGGCAUUCCAUCUUUAUUCCCCUAGAGACUUCCAGCAGUUCCUAAACCGCUCCAGUCGGAGCAUGUUAUCAUUCUUGUUAGUUCUGAGCGAAUUCCCUCGGUAUGAUCAUUCUAUCAUCUGUUUGUUCCCUGUUUCUUCGCUAGCCUAAGCCUGACACACUAUUCUAGGUAGACAUGGGUGUGGCUCGUGACACCUAAUGACCAAACGGAUCUACGGCACCCUCGAAUCUCAAACUUUAACUACCAAAACUAUUGUUUUUCAUUCUGUAGUCCCUUUUAGAUUACUAAACAUCCUUUUUUGGGCUGAGAUUUCCAGGAACGCUUUCUCGGGGUUUGUGUGCAUGUAUUUCAAACCAAACGUUCCUAAAAUUAGAAGUCAUUCCAUCUUAAUUCCCCUAGAGCCUUCUAGCAAUUCCUAAACAGCUCUAGUCGGAGCAUGUUAUCAUUCUUGUUAAUUCUGAGCGAAUUCCCUCCGUAUGAUCAUUCUUUCAUCAGUUUGUUCUCCGUUUCUGCUCUAGUCUGAGCCUAGCACACUAUUCUAGCUAUUAAUGGGUGUGGAUCGUAACACCUAAUGACCAAACGGAUCUACGACACCAUCGAAUCUCAAACUUUAACUGCCAAAACUAUUGUUUUUCAUCCUGUAGUCCCUUUUCGAAUUAUUAAACGUCCUUUUUUGGGCCGAGAUUUCCAGGAACGCUUUCUCGGGGUUUGUGUGGAUGUAUUUCAAAUCAUACGGACCUAAAAAUUAGAAGGCAUUCCAUCUUUAUUCCCCUAGAGCCUUCCAGCAGUUCCUANNNNNNNNNNNNNNNNNNNNNNNNNNNNNNNNNNNNNNNNNNNNNNNNNNNNNNNNNNNNNNNNNNNNNNNNNNNNNNNNNNNNNNNNNNNNNNNNNNNNNNNNUCGCUAGCCUAAGCCUGACACACUAUUCUAGCUACACAUGGGUGUGGCUCGUGACACCUAAUGACCAAACAGAUCUACGGCACCGUCGAAUCUCAAACUUUAACUACCAAAACUAUUGUUUUUCAUUCUGUAGUCCCUUUUAAAUUACUAAACGUCAUUUUUUGGGCCGAGAUUUCUAGGAACGCUUUCUCGGGGUUUGUGUGCAUGUAUUUCAAGUCAUAUGGACCUAAAAAUUAGAAUCCAUUCCAUCUUUAUUCCCCUAGAGCCUUCCAGCAGUUCCUAAACUGCUCCAGUCGGAGCACAUUAUCAUUAUUGUUAGUUCUGACUGAAUUCCCUCGGUAUGAUCAUUCUUUCAUCAGUUUGUUCCCCGUUUCUGCUCUACUCUGAGCUUAACACACUAUUCUAGCUAGGCAUGGGUGUGGCUCGUAACACCUGAUGACCAAACGGAUCUACGAUACCGUCGAAUCUCAAACUUUGACUACGAAAACUAUUGUUUUUCAUUCUAUAGUCCCUUUUAGAAUUACUAAACGUCCUUUUUUGGGCCGAGAUUUCCAGGAACGCUUUCUCGGGGUUUGUGUGCACGUAUUUCAAACAAUACGGACCUAAAAAUUAGAAUUCAUUCCAUCUUUAUUCCCCUAGAGCCUUCCAGCAGUUCCUAAACCGCUCUAGUCGGAGCACUUUAUCAUUCUUGUUAGUUCUCAGCGAAUUCCCUCGGUAUGAUCAUUCUUUCAUCAGUUUGUUCCCCAUUUCUUCUCUAGCCUGAGCCUAACACACUAUUCUAGCUACACAUGGGUGUGGCUCGUCACACCCGAUGACCAAACGGAUCUACGGCACCGUCGAAUCUCAAACUUUAACUGCCAAAACUAUUGUUUUUCAUCCUGUAGUCCCUUUUAGAAUUACUAAACGUCCUUUUUUGGGUAGAUAUUUCUAGGAACGCUUUAUCGGGGUUUGUGUGCACGUAUUUCAGACCAUACGGACCUAAAAAUUAGAAGUCAUUCCAUCUUUAUUCCCCUAUAGCCUUCCAGCAGUUCCUAAACCGCUCCAGUCGGAGCCCGUUAUCAUUCUUGUUAGUUUUGAGCGAAUUCCCUCGGUAUGAUCAUUCUUUCAUCAGUUUGUUCCCCGUUUCUUCUCUAGUCUAAGCCUAGCACACUAGUUUAGCUAGACAUGGGUGUGGCUCGUAACACCUGAUGGCCAAACGGAUCUACGGCACCGUGAAAUCUCAAACUUUAACUGCCAAAACUAUUGUUUUUCAUCCUGUAGUCCCUUUUAGAAUUACUAAACGUCCUUUUUUGGGCUGAGAUUUCCAGGAACACUUUCUCGGGGUUUGUGUGCAUGUAUUUCAAACCAUAUGGACCUAAAAAUUAGAAGUCAUUCCAUCUUUAUUCCCCUAGAGCCUUCCAACAGUCCCUAAACCGCUCCAGUCCGAGCAUGUUAUCAUUCUUGUUAGUUCUGAGUGAAUUCCCUCGGUAUGAUCAUUCUUUCAUCAGUUUGUUCCCCAUUUCUUCUCUAGUCUGAGCCUAGCUCACUAUUCUAGCUAGACAUGGGUGUGGCUCAUAAUACCUGAUGACCAAACGGAUCUACGGCACCAUCGAAUCUCAAACUUUAACUGCCAAAACAAUUGUUUUUCAUCCUGUAGUCCCUUUUAGAAUUACUAAACGUCCUUUUUUGGGCCGAGAUUUCCAGGAACGCUUUCUCGGGGUUUGUGUGCACGUAUUUCAAACCAAGCGUUCUUAAAAAUUAGAAGUCAUUCCAUCUUUAUUCCCCUAGAGCCUUACAGCAGUUCCUAAACUGCUCCAGUCGGCGCACGUUAUCAUUCUUGUUAGUUCUGAGCGAAUUCCCUCGGUAUGAUCAUUCUUUCAUCAGUUUGUUCCCCGUUUCUUCUCUAGUUUGAGCCUAGCACACUAUUCUAGCUAGACAUGGGUGUGGGUCAUAACACCUGAUGACCAAACAGAUCGACGACACCAUCGAAUCUCAAACUUUAACUGCCAAAACUAUUGUUUUUCAUCCUGUAGUCCCUUUUAGAAUUACUAAACGUCCUUUUUUGGGUCGAGAUUUCCAAGAAAGCUUUCUCGGGCUUUGUGUGCACGUAUUUCAAACCAAAAAUUUCUAAAAAUUAGAAGUCAUUCCAUCUUUAUUCCCCUAGAGCCUUCCAGCAGUUCCUAAACAGCUCCAGUCGGAGCACGUUAUCAUUCUUGUUAGUUCUGAGCGAAUUCCCUCGGUAUGAUCAUUCUUUCAUCAGUUUGUUCCCCGUUUCUUCUAUAGUCUGAGCCUAUCACACUAUUCUAGCUAGACAUGGGUGUGGCUCGUAACACCUGAUGACCAAACGGAUCUACGGCACCAUCGAAUCUAAAACUUUAACUGCCAAAACUAUUGUUUUUCAUCCUGUAGUCCCUUUAGAACUACUAAAUGUCCUUUUUUGGGCCAAGAUUUCCAGGAACGCUUUCUCGGGGUUUGUGUGCAUGUAUUUCAAACCAUACGGACCUAAAAAUUAGGUCAUUCCAUCUUUAUUCCCCUAGAGCCUUCCAGCAGUUCCUAAACCGCUCCAGUCGGAGCAUGUUAUCAUUCUUGUUUGUUCUGAGUGAAUUCCCUCAGUAUGAUCAUUCUUUCAUCAUUUUGUUCCCCGUUUCUUCUCUAGUCUGAGCCUAGCACACUAUUCUAGCUAGACAUGGGUGUGGCUCGUAACACCUGACCAAACGGAUCUACGGCACCGUCGAAUCUCAAACUUUAACUGCCAAAACUAUUGUUUUUCAUCCUGUAGUCCCUUUUAAAUUUAAUAAACGUCCUUUUUUGGGCUGAGAUUUCCAGGAACGCUUUCGUGCGGUUUGUGUGCAAGUAUUUCAAAUCAUACAGACCUAUAAAUUAGAAGUCAUUUCAUCUUUAUUCCCCUAGAGCCUUCGAGCGGUUCCUAAACCGCUCAAGUCGGAGCAUGUUAUCAUUCUUGUUAGUUCUGAGUGAAUUCCCUCGGUAUGAUCAUUCUUUCAUCAGUUUGUUCCCCGUUCCUUCUCUAGUCUGAGCCUAGCACACUACUCUAGCUAGACAUGGGUUUGGCUCGUAACACCUGAUAACCAAACGGGUCUACGACACCAUCGAAUCUCAAACUUUUUUGGGCCAAGAUUUGCAGGAACGCUUUCUCGGGGUUUGUGUGCACGUAUUUCAAAUCAUGCGGACCUAAAAAUUAGAAGUCAUUCCAUAUUUGUUCCCCUAGAGCCUUCCAGCAGUUCCUAAACCGCUCCAGUUGGACCACGUUAUCAUUCUUGUUAGUUCUGAGUGAAUUACCUCGGUAUGAUCAUUCUUUCAUAAGUUUGUUCCCCGUUUCUUCUAUAGUCUGAGCCUAGCACACUACUCUAGCUAGACAUGGGAGUGGCUCGUAACACCUGAUGACCAAACAGAUCUAUGGCACCGUCGAAUCUCAAACUUUAACUGCCAAAACUAUUGUUUUUCAUCCUGUAGUCCCUUUUAGAAUUACUAAACGUCAUUUUUUGGGCUGAGAUUUCCAGGAACGCUUUCGCGGGGUUUGUGUGCACGUAUUUCAAACCAUAGGGACCUAAAAAUUAGAAGUCAUUCCAUCUUUAUUCCCCUAGAGCCUAACACACUAUUCUAGCUAGACAUGGGUGUGGCUCGUAACACCUGAUGACAAAACGGAUCUACGGCACCAUCGAAUCUCAAACUUUAACUGCCAAAAUUAUUGUAUUUCAUCCUGUAGUCCCUUUUAGAAUUAUUAAACGUCCUUUUUUUGGGCUGUGAUUUCCAUGAACGCUUUCUCGGGGUUUCUGUGCACGUAUUUCAAAUCAUACGGACCUAAAAAUUAGAAGUCAUUCCAUCUUUAUUCCCCUAGAGCCUUCCAACAGUUCCUAAACCGCUCCAGUCGGAGCACAUUAUCAUUCUUGUUAGUUCUGAGUGAAUUCCCAUGGUAUGAUCAUUCUUUCAUUAGUUUGUUCCCCGUUUCUUCUCUAGUCUGAGCCUACCACACUAUUCUAGCUAGACAUGGGUGUGGCUCAUAACACCUUAUGACCAAACGGAUCUACGGCACCAUCGAAUCUCAAACUUUAACCGCCAAAACUAUUGUUUUUCAUCAUGUAGUCCCUUUUAGAAUUACUAAACGUCCUUCUUUGGGCAGAGAUUUCCAGGAAUGCUUUAUCGGGGUUUGUGUGCACGUAUUUCAGACCAUACGGACCUAAAAAUUAGAAGUCAUUCCAUCUUUAUUCCCCUAGAGCCUUCCAAUAGUUCCUGAACCGCUCCAGUCGGAGCAUGUUAUCAUUCUUGUUAGUUCUGAGCGAAUUCCCUCGGUAUGAUCAUUCUUUCAUCAGUUUGUUUCCCGUUUCUUCUCUAGUCUGAGCCUAGCACACUACUCUAGCUAGACAUUGGUGUGGCUCGUAACACCUGAUGACCAAACGGAUCUACGGCACUGUCAAAUCUCAAACUUUAACUGCCAAAACUAUUGUUUUUCAUCCUGUAGUCCCUUUUAGAAUUACUAAACGUCCUUUUUUGGGCCGAUAUUUCCAGGAACGCUUUCUUGGGGUUUGUGUGCAUGUAUUUCAAACCAUAUGGAACUAAAAAUUACAAGUCAUUCCAUCUUUAUUCCCCUAGAGCCUUCCAGCAGUUCCUAAACCGCUCCAAUCGGAGCAUGUUAUCAUUCUUGUUAAUUCUGAGUGAAUUCCCUUGGUAUGAUCAUUCUUUCAUCAGUUUGUUCCCGAUUUCUUCUCCAGUCUGAGCCUAGCUCACUAUUCUAGCUAGACAUGGGUGUGGCUCAUAAUACCUGAUGACCAAACGGAUCUACGACACCAUCGAAUCUCAAACUUUAACUGCCAAAACUAUUGUUUUUCAUCUUGUAGUCCCUUUUAGAAUUACUAAACGUCCUUUUGUGGGCUGAGAUUUCCAGGAACGCUUUAUCGGGGUUUGUGUGCUCGUAUUUCAGACCAUACGGACCUAAAAAUUAGAACUCAUUCCAUCUUUAUUCCCCUAGAGCCUUCCAGCAGCUCCUAAACCGCUCCAGUCGAGCACGUUAUCAUUCUUGUUAGUUCUGAGCAAAUUCCCUCGUUAUGAUCAUUCUUUCAUCAGUUUGUUCCCCGUUUCUUCUCUGGUCUGAGCCUAGCACACUAUUCUAGCUAUUAAUGGGUGUGGAUCGUAACACUUGAUGAUCAAACAGAUCUACGGCACCAUCGAUUCUCAAACUUUAACUGCCAAAACUAUUGUUUUUCAUCCUGUAGUCCCUUUUAGAAUUAUUAAACGUCCUUUUUUGGGCCGAGAUUUCUAGGAACGCUGUCUCGGGGUUUGUGUGCACGUAUUUCUAAUCAUACGGACCUAAAAAUUAGAAGUCAUUCCAUAUUUAUUCCCCUAGAGCCUUCCAGCAGUUCCUAAACCGCUCAAGUCGGAGCACGUUAUCAUUCUUGUUAGUUCUUAGCGAAUUCCCUCGAUAUGAUCAUUCUUUCAUCAGUUUGUUCCCCGUUUCUUCUCUAGCCUGAGCCCGACACACUAUUCUAGCUAGACAUGGGUGUGGCUCGUAACACCUAAUGACCAAACGGAUCUACGGCACCGUUGAAUCUCAAACUUUAACAGCCAAAAUUAUUGUUUUUCAUUAUGUAGUCUCUUUUAAAUUACUAAACGUCAUUUUUUGAGCUGAGAUAUCCAGGAACGCUUUCUCGGGGUUUUUGUGCACGUAUUUCAAAUCAUACGGACCUGAAAAUUAGAAGUCAUUCCAUCUUUAUUCCCCUAGAGCCUUCCAGCAGUUCCUAAACCGCUCCAGUUGGACCACGUUAUCAUUCUUGUUAGUUCUGAGUGAAUUACCUUAGUAUGAUCAUUCUUUCAUCAGUUUGUUCCCUGUUUCUUCUAUAGUCUGAGCCUAGCACACUACUCUAGCUAGACAUGGGUGUGGCUCGUAACACCUGAUGACCAAACAGAUCUACGGCACCGUCGAAUCUCAAACUUUAACUGCCAAAACUAUUGUUUUUCAUCCUGUAGACCCUUUUAGAAUUACUAAACGUCCUUUUUUGGGCUGAGAUUUCCGGGAACGCUUUCACGGGGUUUGUGUGCACGUAUUUUAAACCAUAUGGACCUAAAAAUUAGAAGUCAUUCCAUCUUUAUUCCCAUAGAGCCUAACACACUAUUCUAGCUAGAUAUGGGUGUGGCUCGUAACACCUGAUGACCAAACGGAUCUACGGCACCAUCGAAUCUCAAACUUUAACUGCCAAAACUAUUGUAUUUCAUCAUGUAGUCCCUUUUAGAAUUAUUAAACGUCCUUUUUUAGGGCCGUGAUUUCCAUGAACGCUUUCUUGGGGUUUCUGUGCAUGUAUUUCAAAUCAUACGGACCUAAAAAUUAGAAGUCAUUCCAUCUUUAUUCCCCUAGAGCCUUCCAGCAGUUCCUAAACCGCUUCAGUCGGAGCACGUUAUCAUUCUUGUUAGUUCUGAGUGAAUUCCCUUGGUAUGAUCAUUCUUUCAUCAGUUUGUUCCCCGUUUCUUCUCUAGUCUGAGCCUAGCACACUAUUCUAGCUAGACAUGGGUGUGGCUCAUAACACCUCAUGACCAAACGGAUCUACGGCACCAUCGAAUCUCAAACUUUAACUGCCAAAACUAUUGUUUUUCAUCCUGUAGUCCCUUUUAGAAUUACUAAACGUCCUUUUUUGGGCAGAUAUUUCCAGGAACGCUUUAUCGGGGUUUGUGUGCUCGUAUUUCAGACCAUACGGACCUAAAAAUUAGAACUCAUUCCAUCUUUAUUCCCCUAUAGCCUUCCAGCAAUUCCGAAACCACUCUAUUCGGAGCACGUUAUCAUUCUUGUUAGUUCUAAAAGAAUUCCCUCGGUAUGAUCAUUCUUUCAUCAGUUUAUUUCCCGUUUCUUCUCUAGUCUAAGCCUAGCACACUAGUCUAGCUAGACAUGGGUGUGGCUCGUAACACCUGAUGACCAAACGGAUCUACGGCACCGUCAAAUCUCAAACUUUAACUGCCAAAACUAUUGUUUUUCAUCCUGUAGUCCCUUUAGAAUUACAAAAGGUCCUUUUUUGGGCCGAGAUUUCCAGGAACACUUUCUCGGGGGUUUGUGUGCAUGUAUUUCAAACCAUAUGGACCUAAAAAUUAGAAGUCAUUCCAUCUUUAUUCCCCUAGAGCCUUCCAGCAGUUCCUAAACCGCUCCAGUCGGAGCAUGUUAUCAUUCUUGUUAGUUCUGAGUGAAUUCCCUCGGUAUGAUCAUUCUUUCAUCAGUUUGUUCCCCAUUUCUUCUCUAGUCUGAGCCUAGCUCACUAUUCUAGCUAGACAUGGGUGUGGCUCGUAAUACCUGAUGACCAAAUGGAUCUACGGCACCAUCGAAUCUCAAACUUUUACUGCCAAAACUAUUGUUUUUCAUCCUGUAGUCCCUUUUAGAAUUACUAAACGUCCUUUUUUGGGCUGAGAUUUCCAGGAACGCUUUCUUGGGGUUUGUGUGCACGUAUUUCAAACCAAGCGUUCCUAAAAAUUAGAAGUCAUUCCAUCUUUAUUCCCCUAGAGCCUUACAGCAGUUCCUAAACUGCUCCAGUCGGCGCACGUUAUCAUUCUUGUUAGUUCUGAGUGAAUUCCCUCGGUAUGAUCAUUCUUUCAUCAGUUUGUUCCCCGUUUCUUCUCUAGUCUGAGCCUACCACACUAUUCUAGCUAGACAUGGGUGUGGCUCAUAACACCUUAUGACCAAACGGAUCUACGGCACCAUCGAAUCUCAAACUUUAACUGCCAAAACUAUUGUUUUUCAUCCUGUAGUCCCUUUUAGAAUUACUAAACGUCCUUUUUUGGGCAGAUAUUUCCAGGAAUGCUUUAUCGGGGUUUGUGUGCACGUAUUUCAGACCAUACGGACCUAAAAAUUAGAAGUCAUUCCAUCUUUAUUCCCCUAUAGCCUUCCACCAGUUCCUAAACCACUCCAGUCGGAGCACGUUAUCAUUCUUGUUAGUUCUGAGCGAAUUCCCUCGGUAUGAUCAUUCUUUCAUCAGUUUAUUCCCCGUUUCUUCUCUAGUCUAAGCCUAGCACACUAGUCUAGCUAGACAUGGGUGUGGCUCGUAACACCUGAUGACCAAACGGAUCUACGGCACCGUCAAAUCUCAAACUUUAACUGCCAAAACUAUUGUUUUUCAUCCUGUAGUCCCUUUUAGAAUAACUAAACGUCCUUUUUUGGGCCGAGAUUUCCGGGAACACUUUCUCGGGGUUUGUGUGCAUGUAUUUCAAACCAUAUGGACCUAAAAAUUAGAAGUCAUUCCAUCUUUAUUCCCCUAGAGCCUUCCAGCAGUUCCUAAACCGCUCCAGUCGGAGCAUGUUAUCAUUCUUGUUAGUUCUGAGUGAAUUCCCUCGGUACGAUCAUUCUUUCAUCAGUUUGUUCCCCGUUUCUUCUCUAGUCUGAGCCUAGCUCACUAUUCUAGCUAGACAUGGGUGUGGCUCAUAAUACCUGAUGACCAAACGGAUCUACGGCACUAUCGAAUCUCAAACUUUAACUGCCAAAACUAUUGUUUUUCAUCCUGUAGUCCCUUUUAGAAUUACUAAACGUCCUUUUUUGGGCCGAGAUUUCCAGGAACGCUUUCUUGGGGUUUGUGUGCAUGUAUUUCAAACCAAGCGUUCCUAAAAAUUAGAAGUCAUUCCAUCUUUAUUCCCCUAGAGCCUUACAGCAGUUCCUAAACUGCUCCAGUCGGCGCACGUUAUCAUUCUUGUUAGUUCUGAGCGAAUUCCCUCGGUAUGAUCAUUCUUUCAUCAGUUUGUUCCCCAUUUCUUCUCUAGUUUGAGCCUAGCACACUAUUCUAGCUAGACAUGGGUGUGGGUCAUAACACCUGAUGACCAAACAGAUCGACGACACCAUCGACUCUCAAACUUUAACUGCCAAAACUAUUGUUUUUCAUCCUGUAGUCCCUUUUAGAAUUACUAAACGUCCUUUUUUGGGCCGAGAUUUCCAAGAACGCUUUCUCGGGGUUUGUGUGCACGUAUUUCAAACCAAACAUUCCUAAAAAUUAGAAGUCAUUCCAUCUUUAUUCCCCUAGAGCCUUCCAGUAGUUCCUAAACAGCUCCAGUCGGAGGACGUUAUCAUUCUUGUUAGUUCUGAGUGAAUUCCCUCGGUAUGAUCAUUCUUUCAUCAGUUUGUUCCCUGUUUCUUCUCUAGUAUGAGCCUCGCACACUAUUCUAGCUAUUAAUGGGUGUGGAUCGUAACACCUGAUGACCAAACGGAUCUACGGCACCAUCGAAUAUCAAACUUUAACUGCCAAAACUAUUGUUUUUCAUUCUGUAGUCCCUUUUAAAUUACUAAAUGUCAUUUUUGGGCUGAGAUAUCCAGGAACGCUUUCUCGGGGUUUGUGUGCAUGUAUUUCAAAUCAUACGGACCUAAAAAUUAGAAGUCAUUCCAUCUUUAUUCCCCUAGAGCCUUCCAGCAGUUCCUAAACCACUCCAGUCGGAACACGUUGUCAUUAUUGUUAGUUCUGAGUGAAUUCCCUCGGUAUGAUCAUUCUUUCAUCAGUUUUUUCCCCGUUUCUUCUAUAGUCUGAGCCUAUCACACUAUUCUAGCUAGACAUGGGUGUGGCACGUAACACCUGAUGACCAAACGGAUCUACGGCACCGUCGAAUCUCAAACUUUAACUGCCAAAACUAUUGUUUUUCAUCCUGUUGUCCCUUUAGAAUUACUAAAUGUCCUUUUUUGGGCCGAGAUUUCCAGGAACGCUUUCUCGGGAUUUGUGUGCAUGUAUUUCAAACCAUACGGACCUACAAAUUAGGUCAUUCCAUCUUUAUUCCCCUAGAGCCUUCCAGCAGUUCCUAAACUGCUCCAGUCGGAGCACGUUAUCAUUCUUGUUUGUUCUCAGCGAAUUCCCUCGGUAUGAUCAUUCUUUCAUCAUUUUGUUCCCCGUUUCUUCUCUAGUCUAAGCCUAGCACACUAUUCUAGCUACACAUGGGUGUGGCUCGUAACACCUGAUGACCAAACGGAUCUACGGCACCGUCGAAUCUCAAACUUUAACUGCCAAAACUAUUGUUUUUCAACCUAUAGUCCCUUUUAAAUUUACUAAACGUCCUUUUUUGGGCUGAGAUUUCCAGGAACGCUUUCGUGCGGUUUGUGUGCAAGUAUUUGAAAUCAUACGGACCUAUAAAUUAGAAGUCAUUUCAUCUUUAUUCCCCUAGAGCCUUCGAGCGGUUCCUAAACCGCUCCAGUCGGAGCAUGUUAUCGUUCUUGUUAGUUCUGAGUGAAUUCCCUCGGUAUGAUCAUUCUUUCAUCAGUUUGUUCCCCAUUUCUUCUCUAGUCUGAGCCUAGCACACUACUCUAGCUAGACAUGGGUUUGGCUUGUAACACCUGAUAACCAAACGGGUCUACGACACCAUCGAAUCUCAAACUUUUUUGGGCCGAGAUUUCCAGGAACGCUUUCUCGGGGUUUGUGUGCACGUAUUUCAAAUCAUGCGGACCUAAAAAUUAGAAGUCAUUCCAUAUUUAUUCCCCUAGAGCCUUCCAGCAGUUCCCAAACCGCUCCAGUCGGAGCAUGUUAUCAUUCUUGUUAGUUCUGAGCGAGUUCCCUCGGUAUGAUCAUUCUUUCAUCAGUUUGUUCCCUGUUUCUUCUCUAGCCUGAGCCUGACACACUAUUAUAGCUAGACAUGGGUGUGGCUCGUGACACCUGAUGACCAAAUGGAUCUACGGCACCGUCGAAUCUCAAACUUUAACUGCCAAAACUAUUGUUUUUCAUCCUGUAGUCCCUUUUAGAAUUACGAAACGUCCUUUUUUGGGCCAUGAUUUCCAGGAAUGCUUUCUUGGGGUUUGUGUGCACGUAUUUCAAACCAUACGGACCUAAAAAUUAGAAGUCAUUCCAUCUUUAUUCCCCUAGAGCCUUCCAGCAGUUCCUAAACUGCUCUAUUUGGAGCAUGUUAUCAUUCUUGUUAGUUCUGAGUGAAUUCCCUCGGUAUGAUCAUUCUUUCAUCAGUUUGUUCCCCGUUUCUUCUCUAGUCUGAGCCUAGCACACUAUUCUAGCUAUUAAUGGGUGUGGAUCGUAACACCUGAUGAGCAAACGGAUCUACGGCACAAUCGAAUCUCAAACUUUAACUGCCAAAACUAUUGUUUUUCAUUCUGUAGUCCCUUUUCGAAUUAUUAAACGUCCUUUUUUGGGCCGAGAUUUCCAGGAACGCUUUCUCGGGGUUUGUGUGCAUGUAUUUCAAAUCAUACGGACCUAAAAAUUAGAAGGCAUUCCAUCUUUAUUCCCCUAGAGCCUUCCAGCAGUUCCUAAACCGCUCCAGUCGGAGCAUGUUAUCAUUCUUGUUAGUUCUGAGCGAAUUCCCUCGGUAUGAUCAUUCUAUCAUCUGUUUGUUCCCUGUUUCUUCGCUAGCCUAAGCCUGACACACUAUUCUAGCUAGACAUGGGUGUGGCUCGUGACACCUAAUGACCAAACGGAUCUACGGCACCCUCGAAUCUCAAACUUUAACUACCAAAACUAUUGUUUUUCAUUCUGUAGUCCCUUUUAGAUUACUAAACAUCCUUUUUUGGGCUGAGAUUUCCAGGAACGCUUUCUCGGGGUUUGUGUGCAUGUAUUUCAAACCAAACGUUCCUAAAAUUAGAAGUCAUUCCAUCUUAAUUCCCCUAGAGCCUUCUAGCAAUUCCUAAACAGCUCUAGUCGGAGCAUGUUAUCAUUCUUGUUAAUUCUGAGCGAAUUCCCUCCGUAUGAUCAUUCUUUCAUCAGUUUGUUCCCCGUUUCUUCUCUAGUCUAAGCCUAGCACACUAGUCUAGCUAGACAUGGGUGUGGCUCGUAACACCUGAUGACCAAACGGAUCUACGGCACCGUCAAAUGUCAAACUUUAACUGCCAAAACUAUUGUUUUUCAUCCUGUAGUCCCUUUUCGAAUUAUUAAACGUCCUUUUUUGGGCCGAGAUUUCCAGGAACGCUUUCUCGGGGUUUGUGUGGAUGUAUUUCAAAUCAUACGGACCUAAAAAUUAGAAGGCAUUCCAUCUUUAUUCCCCUAGAGCCUUCCAGCAGUUCCUANNNNNNNNNNNNNNNNNNNNNNNNNNNNNNNNNNNNNNNNNNNNNNNNNNNNNNNNNNNNNNNNNNNNNNNNNNNNNNNNNNNNNNNNNNNNNNNNNNNNNNNNNNNNNNNNNNNNNNNNNNNNNNNNNNNNNNNNNNNNNNNNNNNNNNNNNNNNNNNNNNNNNNNNNNNNNNNNNNNNNNNNNNNNNNNNNNNNNNNNNNNNNNNNNNNNNNNNNNNNNNNNNNNNNNNNNNNNNNNNNNNNNNNNNNNNNNNNNNNNNNNNNNNNNNNNNNNNNNNNNNNNNNNNNNNNNNNNNNNNNNNNNNNNNNNNNNNNNNNNNNNNNNNNNNNNNNNNNNNNNNNNNNNNNNNNNNNNNNNNNNNNNNNNNNNNNNNNNNNNNNNNNNNNNNNNNNNNNNNNNNNNNNNNNNNNNNNNNNNNNNNNNNNNNNNNNNNNNNNNNNNNNNNNNNNNNNNNNNNNNNNNNNNNNNNNNNNNNNNNNNNNNNNNNNNNNNNNNNNNNNNNNNNNNNNNNNNNNNNNNNNNNNNNNNNNNNNNNNNNNNNNNNNNNNNNNNNNNNNNNNNNNNNNNNNNNNNNNNNNNNNNNNNNNNNNNNNNNNNNNNNNNNNNNNNNNNNNNNNNNNNNNNNNNNNNNNNNNNNNNNNNNNNNNNNNNNNNNNNNNNNNNNNNNNNNNNNNNNNNNNNNNNNNNNNNNNNNNNNNNNNNNNNNNNNNNNNNNNNNNNNNNNNNNNNNNNNNNNNNNNNNNNNNNNNNNNNNNNNNNNNNNNNNNNNNUCGCUAGCCUAAGCCUGACACACUAUUCUAGCUACACAUGGGUGUGGCUCGUGACACCUAAUGACCAAACAGAUCUACGGCACCGUCGAAUCUCAAACUUUAACUACCAAAACUAUUGUUUUUCAUUCUGUAGUCCCUUUUAAAUUACUAAACGUCAUUUUUUGGGCCGAGAUUUCUAGGAACGCUUUCUCGGGGUUUGUGUGCAUGUAUUUCAAGUCAUAUGGACCUAAAAAUUAGAAUCCAUUCCAUCUUUAUUCCCCUAGAGCCUUCCAGCAGUUCCUAAACUGCUCCAGUCGGAGCACAUUAUCAUUAUUGUUAGUUCUGAGUGAAUUCCCUCGGUAUGAUCAUUCUUUCAUCAGUUUGUUCCCCGUUUCUGCUCUACUCUGAGCUUAACACACUAUUCUAGCUAGACAUGGGUGUGGCUCGUAACACCUGAUGACCAAACGGAUCUACGAUACCGUCGAAUCUCAAACUUUGACUACGAAAACUAUUGUUUUUCAUUCUAUAGUCCCUUUUAGAAUUACUAAACGUCCUUUUUUGGGCCGAGAUUUCUAGGAACGCUUUCUCGGGGUUUGUGUGCACGUAUUUCAAACAAUACGGACCUAAAAAUUAGAAUUCAUUCCAUCUUUAUUCCCCUAGAGCCUUCCAGCAGUUCCUAAACCGCUCAAGUCGGAGCACUUUAUCAUUCUUGUUAGUUCUCAGCGAAUUCCCUCGGUAUGAUCAUUCUUUCAUCAGUUUGUUCCCCAUUUCUUCUCUAGCCUGAGCCUAACACACUAUUCUAGCUACACAUGGGUGUGGCUCGUCACACCCGAUGACCAAACGGAUCUACGGCACCGUCGAAUCUCAAACUUUAACUGCCAAAACUAUUGUUUUUCAUCCUGUAGUCCCUUUUAGAAUUACUAAACGUCCUUUUUUGGGUAGAUAUUUCCAGGAACGCUUUAUCGGGGUUUGUGUGCACGUAUUUCAGACCAUACGGACCUAAAAAUUAGAAGUCAUUCCAUCUUUAUUCCCCUAUAGCCUUCCAGCAGUUCCUAAACCGCUCCAGUCGGAGCCCGUUAUCAUUCUUGUUAGUUUUGAGCGAAUUCCCUCGGUAUGAUCAUUCUUUCAUCAGUUUGUUCCCCGUUUCUUCUCUAGUCUAAGCCUAGCACACUAGUUUAGCUAGACAUGGGUGUGGCUCGUAACACCUGAUGGCCAAACGGAUCUACGGCACCGUGAAAUCUCAAACUUUAACUGCCAAAACUGUUGUUUUUCAUCCUGUAGUCCCUUUUAGAAUUACUAAACGUCCUUUUUUGGGCUGAGAUUUCCAGGAACACUUUCUCGGGGUUUGUGUGCAUGUAUUUCAAACCAUAUGGACCUAAAAAUUAGAAGUCAUUCCAUCUUUAUUCCCCUAGAGCCUUCCAACAGUCCCUAAACCGCUCCAGUCCGAGCAUGUUAUCAUUCUUGUUAGUUCUGAGUGAAUUCCCUCGGUAUGAUCAUUCUUUCAUCAGUUUGUUCCCCAUUUCUUCUCUAGUCUGAGCCUAGCUCACUAUUCUAGCUAGACAUGGGUGUGGCUUAUAAUACCUGAUGACCAAACGGAUCUACGGCACCAUCGAAUCUCAAACUUUAACUGCCAAAACUAUUGUUUUUCAUCCUGUAGUCCCUUUUAGAAUUACUAAACGUCCUUUUUUGGGCCGAGAUUUCCAGGAACGCUUUCUCGGGGUUUGUGUGCACGUAUUUCAAACCAAGCGUUCUUAAAAAUUAGAAGUUAUUCCAUCUUUAUUCCCCUAGAGCCUUACAGCAGUUCCUAAACUGCUCCAAUCGGCGCACGUUAUCAUUCUUGUUAGUUCUGAGCGAAUUCCCUCGGUAUGAUCAUUCUUUCAUCAGUUUGUUCCCCGUUUCUUCUCUAGUUUGAGCCUAGCACACUAUUCUAGCUAGACAUGGGUGUGGGUCAUAACACCUGAUGACCAAACAGAUCGACGACACCAUCGAAUCGCAAACUUUAACUGCCAAAACUAUUGUUUUUCAUCCUGUAGUCCCUUUUAGAAUUACUAAACGUCCUUUUUUGGGUCGAGAUUUCCAAGAACGCUUUCUCGGGGUUUGUGUGCACGUAUUUCAAACCAAAAAUUCCUAAAAAUUAGAAGUCAUUCCAUCUUUAUUCCCCUAGAGCCUUCCAGCAGUUCCUAAACAGCUCUAGUCGGAGCACGUUAUCAUUCUUGUUAGUUCUGAGCGAAUUCCCUCGGUAUGAUCAUUCUUUCAUCAGUUUGUUCCCCGUUUCUUCUAUAGUCUGAGCCUAUCACACUAUUCUAGCUAGACAUGGGUGUGGCUCGUAACACCUGAUGACCAAACGGAUCUACGGCACCAUCAAAUCUAAAACUUUAACUGCCAAAACUAUUGUUUUUCAUCCUGUAGUCCCUUUAGAACUACUAAAUGUCCUUUUUUGGGCCGAUAUUUCCAGGAACGCUUUCUCGGGGUUUGUGUGCAUGUAUUUCAAACCAUACGGACCUAAAAAUUAGGUCAUUCCAUCUUUAUUCCCCUAGAGCCUUCCAGCAGUUCCUAAACCGCUCCAGUCGGAGCAUGUUAUCAUUCUUGUUUGUUCUGAGUGAAUUCCCUCAGUAUGAUCAUUCUUUCAUCAUUUUGUUCCCCGUUUCUUCUCUAGUCUGAGCCUAGCACACUAUUCUAGCUAGACAUGGGUGUGGCUCGUAACACCUGACCAAACGGAUCUACGGCACCGUCGAAUCUCAAACUUUAACUGCCAAAACUAUUGUUUUUCAUCCUGUAGUCCCUUUUAAAUUUAAUAAACGUCCUUUUUUUGGGCUGAGAUUUCCAGGAACGCUUUCGUGCGGUUUGUGUGCAAGUAUUUCAAAUCAUACAGACCUAUAAAUUAGAAGUCAUUUCAUCUUUAUUCCCCUAGAGCCUUCGAGCGGUUCCUAAACCGCUCAAGUCGGAGCAUGUUAUCAUUCUUGUUAGUUCUGAGUGAAUUCCCUCGGUAUGAUCAUUCUUUCAUCAGUUUGUUCCCCAUUCCUUCUCUAGUCUGAGCCUAGCACACUACUCUAGCUAGACAUGGGUUUGGCUCGUAACACCUGAUAACCAAACGGGUCUACGACACCAUCGAAUCUCAAACUUUUUUGGGCCAAGAUUUCCAGGAACGCUUUCUCGGGGUUUGUGUGCACGUAUUUCAAAUCAUGCGGACCUAAAAAUUAGAAGUCAUUCCAUAUUUAUUCCCCUAGAGCCUUCCAGCAGUUCCUAAACCGCUCCAGUUGGACCACGUUAUCAUUCUUGUUAGUUCUGAGUGAAUUACCUCGGUAUGAUCAUUCUUUCAUCAGUUUGUUCCCCGUUUCUUCUAUAGUCUGAGCCUAGCACACUACUCUAGCUAGACAUGGGAGUGGCUCGUAACACCUGAUGACCAAACAGAUCUAUGGCACCGUCGAAUCUCAAACUUUAACUACCAAAACUAUUGUUUUUCAUCCUGUAGUCCCUUUUAGAAUUACUAAAUGUCAUUUUUUGGGCUGAGAUUUCCAGGAACGCUUUCGCGGGGUUUGUGUGCACGUAUUUCAAACCAUAGGGACCUAAAAAUUAGAAGUCAUUCCAUCUUUAUUCCCCUAGAGCCUAACACACUAUUCUAGCUAGACAUGGGUGUGGCUCGUAACACCUGAUGACCAAACGGAUCUACGGCACCAUCGAAUCUCAAACUUUAACUGCCAAAAUUAUUGUAUUUCAUCCUGUAGUCCCUUUUAGAAUUAUUAAACGUCCUUUUUUUGGGCUGUGAUUUCCAUGAACGCUUUCUCGGGGUUUCUGUGCACGUAUUUCAAAUCAUACAGACCUAAAAAUUAGAAGUCAUUCCAUCUUUAUUCCCCUAGAGCCUUCCAACAGUUCCUAAACCGCUCCAGUCGGAGCACAUUAUCAUUCUUGUUAGUUCUGAGUGAAUUCCCAUGGUAUGAUCAUUCUUUCAUUAGUUUGUUCCCCGUUUCUUCUCUAGUCUGAGCCUACCACACUAUUCCAGCUAGACAUGGGUGUGGCUCAUAACACCUUAUGACCAAACGGAUCUACGGCACCAUCGAAUCUCAAACUUUAACCGCCAAAACUAUUGUUUUUCAUCCUGUAGUCCCUUUUAGAAUUACUAAACGUCCUUCUUUGGGUAGAGAUUUCCAGGAAUGCUUUAUCGGGGUUUGUGUGCACGUAUUUCAGACCAUACGGACCUAAAAAUUAGAAGUCAUUCCAUCUUUAUUCCCCUAGAGCCUUCCAACAGUUCCUGAACCGCUCCAGUCGGAGCAUGUUAUCAUUCUUGUUAGUUCUGAGCGAAUUCCCUCGGUAUGAUCAUUCUUUCAUCAGUUUGUUUCCCGUUUCUUCUCUAGUCUGAGCCUAGCACACUACUCUAGCUAGACAUUGGUGUGGCUCGUAACACCUGAUGACCAAACGGAUCUACGGCACCGUCAAAUCUCAAACUUUAACUGCCAAAACUAUUGUUUUUCAUCCUGUAGUCCCUUUUAGAAUUACUAAACGUCCUUUUUUGGGCCGAUAUUUCCAGGAACGCUUUCUUGGGGUUUGUGUGCAUGUAUUUCAAACCAUAUGGAACUAAAAAUUACAAGUCAUUCCAUCUUUAUUCCACUAGAGCCUUCCAGCAGUUCCUAAACCGCUCCAAUCGGAGCAUGUUAUCAUUCUUGUUAAUUCUGAGUGAAUUCCCUUGGUAUGAUCAUUCUUUCAUCAGUUUGUUCCCGAUUUCUUCUCCAGUCUGAGCCUAGCUCACUAUUCUAGCUAGACAUGGGUGUGGCUCAUAAUACCUGAUGACCAAACGGAUCUACGACACCAUCGAAUCUCAAACUUUAACUGCCAAAACUAUUGUUUUUCAUCUUGUAGUCCCUUUUAGAAUUACUAAAAGUCCUUUAUUGGGCCGAGAUUUCCAGGAACGCUUUAUCGGGGUUUGUGUGCUCGUAUUUCAGACCAUACGGACCUAAAAAUUAGAACUCAUUCCAUCUUUAUUCCCCUAGAGCCUUCCAGCAGCUCCUAAACCGCUCCAGUCGGAGCACGUUAUCAUUCUUGUUAGUUCUGAGCAAAUUCCCUCGUUAUGAUCAUUCUUUCAUCAGUUUGUUCCCCGUUCCUUCUCUGGUCUGAGCCUAGCACACUAUUCUAGCUAUUAAUGGGUGUGGAUCGUAACACUUGAUGAUCAAACAGAUCUACGGCACCAUCGAUUCUCAAACUUUAACUGCCAAAACUAUUGUUUUUCAUCCCGUAGUCCCUUUUAGAAUUAUUAAACGUCCUUUUUUGGGCCGAGAUUUCUAGGAACGCUGCCUCGGGGUUUUUGUGCACGUAUUUCAAAUCAUACGGACCUGAAAAUUAGAAGUCAUUCCAUCUUUAUUCCCCUAGAGCCUUCCAGCAGUUCCUAAACCGCUCCAGUUGGACCACGUUAUCAUUCUUGUUAGUUCUGAGUGAAUUACCUUAGUAUGAUCAUUCUUUCAUCAGUUUGUUCCCUGUUUCUUCUAUAGUCUGAGCCUAGCACACUACUCUAGCUAGACAUGGGUGUGGCUCGUAACACCUGAUGACCAAACAGAUCUACGACACCGUCGAAUCUCAAACUUUAACUGCCAAAACUAUUGUUUUUCAUCCUGUAGACCCUUUUAGAAUUACUAAACGUCCUUUUUUGGGCUGAGAUUUCCAGGAACGCUUUCACGGGGUUUGUGUGCACGUAUUUUAAACCAUAUGGACCUAAAAAUUAGAAGUCAUUCCAUCUUUAUUCCCAGAGAGCCUAACACACUAUUCUAGCUAGAUAUGGGUGUGGCUCGUAACACCUGAUGACCAAACGGAUCUACGGCACCAUCGAAUCUCAAACUUUAACUGCCAAAACUAUUGUAUUUCAUCAUGUAGUCCCUUUUAGAAUUAUUAAACGUCCUUUUUUAGGGCCGUGAUUUCCAUGAACGCUUUCUUGGGGUUUCUGUGCAUGUAUUUCAAAUCAUACGGACCUAAAAAUUAGAAGUCAUUCCAUCUUUAUUCCCCUAGAGCCUUCCAGCAGUUCCUAAACCGCUUCAGUCGGAGCACGUUAUCAUUCUUGUUAGUUCUGAGUGAAUUCCCUUGGUAUGAUCAUUCUUUCAUCAGUUUGUUCCCCGUUUCUUCUCUAGUCUGAGCCUAGCACACUAUUCUAGCUAGACAUGGGUGUGGCUCAUAACACCUUAUGACCAAACGGAUCUACGGCACCAUCGAAUCUCAAACUUUAACUGCCAAAACUAUUGUUUUUCAUCCUGUAGUCCCUUUUAGAAUUACUAAACGUCCUUUUUUGGGCAGAUAUUUCCAGGAACGCUUUAUCGAGGUUUGUGUGCUCGUAUUUCAGACCAUACGGACCUAAAAAUUAGAACUCAUUCCAUCUUUAUUCCCCUAUAGCCUUCCAGCAAUUCUGAAACCACUCCAGUCGGAGCACGUUAUCAUUCUUGUUAGUUCUAAAAGAAUUCCCUCGGUAUGAUCAUUCUUUCAUCAGUUUAUUUCCCGUUUCUUCUCUAGUCUAAGCCUAGCACACUAGUCUAGCUAGACAUGGGUGUGGCUCGUAACACCUGAUGACCAAACGGAUCUACGGCACCGUCAAAUCUCAAACUUUAACUGCCANNNNNNNNNNNNNNNNNNNNNNNNNNNNNNNNNNNNNNNNNNNNNNNNNNNNNNNNNNNNNNNNNNNNNNNNNNNNNNNNNNNNNNNNNNNNNNNNNNNNNNNNNNNNNNNNNNNNNNNNNNNNNNNNNNNNNNNNNNNNNNNNNNNNNNNNNNNNNNNNNNNNNNNNNNNNNNNNNNNNNNNNNNNNNNNNNNNNNNNNNNNNNNNNNNNNNNNNNNNNNNNNNNNNNNNNNNNNNNNNNNNNNNNNNNNNNNNNNNNNNNNNNNNNNNNNNNNNNNNNNNNNNNNNNNNNNNNNNNNNNNNNNNNNNNNNNNNNNNNNNNNNNNNNNNNNNNNNNNNNNNNNNNNNNNNNNNNNNNNNNNNNNNNNNNNNNNNNNNNNNNNNNNNNNNNNNNNNNNNNNNNNNNNNNNNNNNNNNNNNNNNNNNNNNNNNNNNNNNNNNNNNNNNNNNNNNNNNNNNNNNNNNNNNNNNNNNNNNNNNNNNNNNNNNNNNNNNNNNNNNNNNNNNNNNNNNNNNNNNNNNNNNNNNNNNNNNNNNNNNNNNNNNNNNNNNNNNNNNNNNNNNNNNNNNNNNNNNNNNNNNNNNNNNNNNNNNNNNNNNNNNNNNNNNNNNNNNNNNNNNNNNNUCAUCAGUUUGUUCCCCAUUUCUUCUCUAGUCUGAGCCUAGCUCACUAUUCUAGCUAGACAUGGGUGUGGCUCGUAAUACCUGAUGACCAAAUGGAUCUACGGCACCAUCGAAUCUCAAACUUUUACUGCCAAAACUAUUGUUUUUCAUCCUGUAGUCCCUUUUAGAAUUACUAAACGUCCUUUUUUGGGCCGAGAUUUCCAGGAACGCUUUCUUGGGGUUUGUGUGCACGUAUUUGAAACCAAGCGUUCCUAAAAAUUAGAAGUCAUUCCAUCUUUAUUCCCCUAGAGCCUUACAGCAGUUCCUAAACUGCUCCAGUCGGCGCACGUUAUCAUUCUUGUUAGUUCUGAGUGAAUUCCCUCGGUAUGAUCAUUCUUUCAUCAGUUUGUUCCCCGUUUCUUCUCUAGUCUGAGCCUACCACACUAUUCUAGCUAGACAUGGGUGUGGCUCAUAACACCUUAUGACCAAACGGAUCUACGGCACCAUCGAAUCUCAAACUUUAACUGCCAAAACUAUUGUUUUUCAUCCUGUAGUCCUUUUUACAAUUACUAAACGUCCUUUUUUGGGCAGAUAUUUCCAGGAAUGCUUUAUCGGGGUUUGUGUGCACGUAUUUCAGACCAUACGGACCUAAAAAUUAGAAGUCAUUCCAUCUUUAUUUUCCUAUAGCCUUCCAGCAGUUCCUAAACCACUCCAGUCGGAGCACGUUAUCAUUCUUGUUAGUUCUGAGCGAAUUCCCUCGGUAUGAUCAUUCUUUCAUCAGUUUAUUCCCCGUUUCUUCUCUAGUCUAAGCCUAGCACACUAGUCUAGCUAGACAUGGGUGUGGCUCGUAACACCUGAUGACCAAACGGAUCUACGGCACCGUCAAAUCUCAAACUUUAACUGCCAAAACUAUUGUUUUUCAUCCUGUAGUCCCUUUUAGAAUAACUAAACGUCCUUUUUUGGGCCGAGAUUUUCGGGAACACUUUCUCGGGGUUUGUGUGCAUGUAUUUCAAACCAUAUGGACCUAAAAAUUAGAAGUCAUUCCAUCUUUAUUCCCCUAGAGCCUUCCAGCAGUUCCUAAACCGCUCCAGUCGGAGCAUGUUAUCAUUCUUGUUAGUUCUGAGUGAAUUCCCUCGGUACGAUCAUUCUUUCAUCAGUUUGUUCCCCAUUUCUUCUCUAGUCUGAGCCUAGCUCACUAUUCUAGCUAGACAUGGGUGUGGCUCAUAAUACCUGAUGACCAAACGGAUCUACGGCACUAUCGAAUCUCAAACUUUAACUGCCAAAACUAUUGUUUUUCAUCCUGUAGUCCCUUUUAGAAUUACUAAACGUCCUUUUUUGGGCCGAGAUUUCCAGGAACGCUUUCUUGGGGUUUGUGUGCACGUAUUUCAAACCAAGCGUUCCUAAAAAUUAGAAGUCAUUCCAUCUUUAUUCCCCUAGAGCCUUACAGCAGUUCCUAAACUGCUCCAGUCGGCGCACGUUAUCAUUCUUGUUAGUUCUGAGCGAAUUCCCUCGGUAUGAUCAUUCUUUCAUCAGUUUGUUCCCCAGUUCUUCUCUAGUUUGAGCCUAGCACACUAUUCUAGCUAGACAUGGGUGUGGGUCAUAACACCUGAUGACCAAACAGAUCGACGGCACCAUCGACUCUCAAACUUUAACUGCCAAAACUAUUGUUUUUCAUCCUGUAGUCCCUUUUAGAAUUACUAAACGUCCUUUUUUGGGCUGAGAUUUCCAAGAACGCUUUCUCGUGGUUUGUGUGCAUGUAUUUCAAACCAAACAUUCCUAAAAAUUAGAAGUCAUUCCAUCUUUAUUCCCCUAGAGCCUUCCAGUAGUUCCUAAACAGCUCCAGUCGGAGCACGUUAUCAUUCUUGUUAGUUCUGAGCGAAUUCCCUCGGUAUGAUCAUUCUUUCAUCAGUUUGUUCCCUGUUUCUUCUCUAGUAUGAGCCUCGCACACUAUUCUAGCUAUUAAUGGGUGUGGAUCGUAACACCUGAUGACCAAACGGAUCUACGGCACCAUCGAAUCUCAAACUUUAACUGCCAAAACUAUUGUUUUUCAUUCUGUAGUCCCUUUUAAAUUACUAAACGUCAUUUUUGGGCUGAGAUAUCCAGGAACGCUUUCUCGGGGUUUGUGUGCACGUAUUUCAAAUCAUACGGACCUAAAAAUUCGAAGUCAUUCCAUCUUUAUUCCCCUAGAGCCUUCCAGCAGUUCCUAAACCACUCCAGUCGGAACACGUUGUCAUUAUUGUUAGUUCUGAGUGAAUUCCCUCGGUAUGAUCAUUCUUUCAUCAGUUUUUUCCCCGUUUCGCCUAUCACACUAUUCUAGCUAGACAUGGGUGUGGCUCGUAACACCUGAUGACCAAACGGAUCUACGGCACCGUCGAAUCUCAAACUUUAACUGCCAAAACUAUUGUUUUUCAUCCUGUUGUCCCUUUAGAAUUACUAAAUGUCCUUUUUUGGGCCGAGAUUUCCAGGAACGCUUUCUCGGGGUUUGUGUGCAUGUAUUUCAAACCAUACGAACCUAAAAAUUAGGUCAUUCCAUCUUUAUUCCCCUAGAGCCUUCCAGCAGUUCCUAAACCGCUGCAGUCGGAGCACGUUAUCAUUCUUGUUUGUUCUGAGCGAAUUCCCUCAGUAUGAUCAUUCUUUCAUCAUUUUGUUCCCCGUUUCUUCUCUAGUCUAAGCCUAGCACACUAUUCUAGCUAGACAUGGGUGUGGCUCGUAACACCUGAUGACCAAACGGAUCUACGGCACCGUCGAAUCUCAAACUUUAACUGCCAAAACUAUUGUUUUUCAUCCUAUAGUCCCUUUUAAAUUUACUAAACGUCCUUUUUUGGGCUGAGAUUUCCAGGAACGCUUUCGUGCGGUUUGUGUGCAACUAUUUCAAAUCAUACAGACCUAUAAAUUAGAAGUCAUUUCAUCUUUAUUCCCCUAGAGCCUUCGAGCGGUUCCUAAACCACUCCAGUCGGAGCAUGUUAUCAUUCUUGUUAGUUCUGAGUGAAUUCCCUCGGUAUGAUCAUUCUUUCAUCAGUUUGUUCCCCAUUUCUUCUCUAGUCUGAGCCUAGCACACUACUCUAGCUAGACAUGGGUUUGGCUCGUAACACCUGAUAACCAAACGGGUCUACGACACCAUCGAAUCUCAAACUUUUUUGGGCCGAGAUUUCCAGGAACGCUUUCUCGGGGUUUGCGUGCACGUAUUUCAAGUCACGCGGACCUAAAAAUUAGAAGUCAUUCCAUAUUUAUUCCCCUAGAGCCUUCCAGCAGUUCCCAAACCGCUCCAGUCGGAGCAUGUUAUCAUUCUUGUUAGUUCUGAGCGAAUUCCCUCGGUAUGAUCAUUCUUUCAUCAGUUUGUUCCCUGUUUCUUCUCUAGACUGAGCCUGACACACUAUUCUAGCUAGACAUGGGUGUGGCUCGUGACACCUGAUGACCAAAUGGAUCUACGGCACCGUCGAAUCUCAAACUUUAACUGCCAAAACUAUUGUUUUUCAUCCUGUAGUCCCUUUUAGAAUUACGAAACGUCCUUUUUUGGGCCAAGAUUUCGAGGAAUGCUUUCUCGGGGUUUGUGUGCACGUAUUUCAAACCAUACGGACCUAAAAAUUAGAAGUCAUUCCAUCUUUAUUCCCCUAGAGCCUUCCAGCAGUUCCUAAACUGCUCUAUUUGGAGCAUGUUAUCAUUCUUGUUAGUUCUGAGUGAAUUCCCUCGGUAUGAUCAUUCUUUCAUCAGUUUGUUCCCCGUUUCUUCUCUAGUCUGAGCCUAGCACACUAUUCUAGCUAUUAAUGGGUGUGGAUCGUAACACCUGAUGACCAAACGGAUCUACGGCACCAUCGAAUCUCAAACUUUAACUGCCAAAACUAUUGUUUUUCAUUCUGUAGUCCCUUUUCGAAUUAUUAAACGUCCUUUUUUGGGUCGAGAUUUCCAGGAACGCUUUCUUGGGGUUUGUGUGCAUGUAUUUCAAAUCAUACGGACCUAAAAAUUAGAAGGCAUUCCAUCUUUAUUCCCCUAGAGCCUUCCAGCAGUUCCUAAACCGCUCCAGUCGGAGCAUGUUAUCAUUCUUGUUAGUUUUGAGCGAAUUCCCUCGGUAUGAUCAUUCUAUCAUCUGUUUGUUCCCUGUUUCUUCGCUAGCCUAAGCCUGACACACUAUUCUAGCUAGACAUGGGUGUGGCUCGUGACACCUAAUGACCAAACGGAUCUACGGCACCCUCGAAUCUCAAACUUUAACUACCAAAACUAUUGUUUUUCAUUCUGUAGUCCCUUUUAGAUUACUAAACAUCCUUUUUUGGGCUGAGAUUUCCAGGAACGCUUUCUCGAGGUUUGUGUGCAUGUAUUUCAAACCAAACGUUCCUAAAAUUAGAAGUCAUUCCAUCUUUAUUCCCCUAGAGCCUUCUAGCAGUUCCUAAACAGCUCUAGUCGGAGCAUGUUAUCAUUCUUGUUAAUUCUGAGCGAAUUCCCUCCGUAUGAUCAUUCUUUCAUCAGUUUGUUCUCUGUUUCUGCUCUAGUCUGAGCCUAGCACACUAUUCUAGCUAUUAAUGGGUGUGUAUCGUAACACCUAAUGACCAAACGGAUCUACGACACCAUCGAAUCUCAAACUUUAACUGCCAAAACUAUUGUUUUUCAUCCUGUAGUCCCUUUUCGAAUUAUUAAACGUCCUUUUUUGGGCCGAGAUUUCCAGGAACGCUUUCUCGGGGUUUGUGUGGAUGUAUUUCAAAUCAUACGGACCUAAAAAUUAGAAGGCAUUCCAUCUUUAUUCCCCUAGAGCCUUCCAGCAGUUCCUAAACCGCUCCAGUCGGAGCAUGUUAUCAUUCUUGUUAGUUCUGAGCGAAUUCCCUCGGUAUGAUCAUUCUAUCAUCAGUUUGUUCCCUGUUUCUUCGCUAGCCUAAGCCUGACACACUAUUCUAGCUACACAUGGGUGUGGCUCGUGACACCUAAUGACCAAACAGAUCUACGGCACCGUCGAAUCUCAAACUUUAACUACCAAAACUAUUGUUUUUCAUUCUGUAGUCCCUUUUAAAUUACUAAACGUCAUUUUUUGGGCCGAGAUUUCUAGGAACGCUUUCUCAGGGUUUGUGUGCAUGUAUUUCAAGUCAUAUGGACCUAAAAAUUAGAAUCCAUUCCAUCUUUAUUCCCCUAGAGCCUUCCAGCAGUUCCUAAACCGCUCCAGUCGGAGCACAUUAUCAUUAUUGUUAGUUCUGAGUGAAUUCCCUCGGUAUGAUCAUUCUUUCAUCAGUUUGUUCCCCGUUUCUGCUCUAGUCUGAGCUUAACACACUAUUCUAGCUAGACAUGGGUGUGGCUCGUAACACCUGAUGACCAAACGGAUCUACGAUACCGUCGAAUCUCAAACUUUAACUACGAAAACUAUUGUUUUUCAUUCUAUAGUCCCUUUUAGAAUUACUAAACGUCCUUUUUUGGGCCGAGAUUUCCAGGAACGCUUUCUCGGGGUUUGUGUGCACGUAUUUCAAACAAUACGGACCUAAAAAUUAGAAUUCAUUCCAUCUUUAUUCCCCUAGAGCCUUCCGGCAGUUCCUAAACCGCUCAAGUCGGAGCACUUUAUCAUUCUUGUUAGUUCUCAGCGAAUUCCCUCGGUAUGAUCAUUCUUUCAUCAGUUUGUUCCCCAUUUCUUCUCUAGCCUGAGCCUAACACACUAUUCUAGCUACAAAUGGGUGUGGCUCGUCACACCCGAUGACCAAACGGAUCUACGGCACCGUUGAAUCUCAAACUUUAACUGCGAAAACUAUUGUUUUUCAUCCUGUAGUCCUUUUUAGAAUUACUAAACGUCCUUUUUUGGGACGAGAUUUCCGGGAACGCUUUCUCGAGGUUUGUGUGCGCGUAUUUCAAACCAUACGAACCUUAAAAUUAGAAUUCAUUCCAUCUUUAUUCCCCUAGAGCCUUCCAGCAGUUCCUAAACCGCUCCAGUCGGAGCACGUUAUCAUUCUUGUUAGUUCUGAGCGAAUUCCCUCGGUAUGAUCAUUCUUUCAUCAGUUUGUUCCUUGUUGCUUCUCUAGCCUGAGCCUGAUACACUAUUCUAGCUAGACAUGGGUGUGGCUCGUGACACCUGAUAACCAAACGGAUCUACAGCACCGUCGAAUCUCAAACUUUAACUACCAAAACUAUUGUUUUCAUUCUGUAGUCCCUUUUAAAUUACUAAACGUCAUUUUUUCGGCCGAGAUUUCCAGGAACGCUUUCUUGGGGUUUGUGUGCAUGUAUUUCAAAUCAUAAGGACCUAAAAAUUAGAAUCCAUUCCAUCUUUAUUUCCCUAGAGCCUUCCAGCAGUUCCUAAACCGCUCCAGUCAGAGCAUGUUAUCAUUAUUGUUAGUUCUGAGUGAAUUCCCUCGGUAUGAUCAUUAUUUCAUCAGUUUGUUCCCCGUUUCUUCUCUAGUCUGAGCCUAACACACUAUUCUAGCUAGACAUGGGUGUGGCUCGUAACACCCGAUGACCAAACGGAUCUACGGCACCGUCGAAUCUCAAACUUUAACUGCGAAAACUAUUGUUUUUCAUCCUUUAGUCCUUUUUAGAAUUACUAAACGUCCUUUUUUGGGACGAGAUUUCCAGGAACGCUUUCUCGGGGUUUGUGUGCGCGUAUUUAAAACCAUACGAACCUUAAAAUUAGAAUUCAUUCCAUCUUUAUUCCCCUAGAGCCUUCCAGUAGUUCCUAAACCGCUCCAGUCGGAGCACCUUAUCAUUCUUGUUAGUUCUGAGCAAAUUCCCUCGGUAUGAUCAUUCUUUCAUCAGUUUGAUCCCCGUUUCUUCUCUAGUCUGAGCCUAGCACACUAUUCUAGCUAUUAAUGGGUGUGGAUCGUAACACCUAAUGACCAAACGGAUCUACGUCACCAUCGAAUCUCAAACUUUAACUACCAAAACUAUUGUUUUUCAUCCUGUAGUCCCUUAAAAUUAGAAUUCAUUCCAUCUUUAUUCCCCUAGAGCCUUCCAGUAGUUCCUAAACCGCUCCAGUCGGAGCACAUUAUCAUUCUUGUUUGUUCUAAGCGAAUUCCCUCAGUAUGAUCAUUCUUUCAUCAUUUUGUUCCCGGUUUCUUCUCUAGUCUGAGUCUAGCACACUAUUCUAGCUAGACAUGGGUGUGGCUCGUAACACCUGAUGACCAAACGGAUCUACGGCAUCGUCGAAUCUCAAACUUUAAUUGCCAAAACUAUUGUUUUUCAUCCUGUAGUCUCUUUUAAAUUUACUAAACGUCCUUUUUUGGGCUGAGAUUUCCUGGAACGCUUUCGUGCGGUUUGUGUGCAAGUAUUUCAAAUCAUACGGACCUAUAAAUUAGAAGUCAUUUCAUCUUUAUUCCCCUAGAGCCUUUGAGCGGUUCCUAAACCGCUCUAGUCGGAGCAUGUUAUCAUUCUUGUUAGUUCUGAGUGAAUUCCCUCGGUAUGAUAAUUCUUUCAUCAGUUUGUUCCCCGUUUCUUCUCUAGUCUGAGCCUAGCACACUACUCUAGCUAGACAUGGGUUUGGCUCGUAACACCUGAUAACCAAACGGGUCUACGACACCAUCGAAUCUCAAACUUUUUUGGGCCGAGAUUUCCAGGAACGCUUUCUCGGGGUUUGUGUGCACGUAUUUCAAAUCAUGCGGACCUAAAAAUUAGAAGUCAUUCCAUAUUUAUUCCCCUAGAGCCUUCCAGCAGUUCCUAAACCGCUCCAGUCCGAGCAUGUUAUCAUUCUUGUUAGUUCUCAGGGAAUUCCCUCGGUAUGAUCAUUCUUUCAUCAGUUUGUUCCCCGUUUUUUCUCUAGCCUGAGCCUAACACACUAUUCUAGCUACACAUGGGUGUCGCUCGUAACACCUGAUGACCGAACAGAUCUACGGCACCAUCGAAUCUCAAACUUUAACUGCCAAAACUAUUGUUUUUCAUCCUGUAGUCCCUUUUAGAAUUACUAAACGUCUUUUUUUGGGCCGAGAUUUCCAGGAACGCUUUCUCGGGGUUUGUGUGGACGUAUUUCAAACCAUACGGACCUAAAAAUUAGAAGUCAUUCCAUCUUUAUUCCCCUAGAGCUUUCCAGCAGUUGCUAAACUGCUCUAGUCGGAGCAUGUUAUCAUUCUUGUUAGUUCUGAGUGAAUUCCCUCGGUAUGAUCAUUCUUUCAUCAGUUUGUUCCCCGUUUCUUCUCUAGUCUGAGCCUAGCACACUAUUCUAGAUAGACAUGGGUGUGGGUCAUAACACCUAAUGACCAAACGGAUCUACGGCACCCUCGAAUCUCAAACUUUAACUGCCAAAACUAUUGUUUUUCAUCUUGUAGUCCCUUUUAGAAUUACUAAACGUCCUUUUUUGGGUCGAGAUUUCCAGGAACGCUUUCUCGGGAUUUGUGUGCAUGUAUUUCAAACCAAAUGUUCCUACAAAUUAGAAGUCAUUCCAUAUUUAUUCCCCUAGAGCCUGCCAGCAGUUCCUAAACACCUCUAGUCGGAGCACGUUAUCAUUCUUGUUAGUUCUGAGCGAAUUCCCUCGGUAUGAUCAUUCUUUCAUCAGUUUGUUCUGCGUUUCUUCUCUAGUCUGAGCCUAGCACAUUAUUCUAGCUAUUAAUGGGUGUGGAUCGUAACACCUAAUGACCAAACGGAUCUACGGCACCAUCGAAUCACAAACUUUAACUGCCAAAACUAUUGUUUUUCAUCCUGUAGUCCCUUUUUGAAUUAUUAAACGUCCUUUUUUGGGCCAAGAUUUCCAGGAAUGCUUUCUCGGGGUUUGUGUGCAUGUAUUUCAAAUCAUACGGACCUAAAAAUUAGAAGGCAUUCCAUCUUUAUUCCCCUAGAGCCUUCCAGCAGUUCCUAAACCGCUCCAGUCGGAGCAUGUUAUCAUUCUUGUUAGUUCUGAGCGAAUUCCCUUGGUAUGAUCAUUCUUUCAUCAGUUUGUUCCCUGUUUCUUCUCUAGCCUGAGCCUGACACACUAUUCUAGCUAGACAUGGGUGUGGCUCGUGACACCUAAUGACCAAACGGAUCUACGGCACCGUCGAAUCUCAAACUUUAACUACCGAAACUAUUGUUUUUCAUUCUAUAGUCCCUUUUAAAUUACUAAACGUCAUUUUUUGGGCCGUGAUUUCCAGGAACGCUUUCUCGGGGUUUGUGUGCAUGUAUUUCAAGUCAUACGGACCUAAAAAUUAGAAUCCAUUCCAUAUUUAUUCCCCUAGAGCCUUCCAGCAGUUCCUAAACCGCUCCAAUUGGAGCACGUUAUCAUUAUUGUUAGUUCUGAGUGAAUUCCCUCGGUAUGAUCAUUCUUUCAUCAGUUUGUUCCCCAUUUCUUCUCUAGUCUGAGCCUAACACACUAUUCUAGCUAGACAUGGGUGUGGGUCGUAACACCUGAUGACCAAAAGGAUCUACGGCACCGUCGAAUCUCAAACUUUAACUACGAAAACUAUUGUUUUUCAUUCUAUAGUCCCUUUUAGAAUUACUAAACGUCCUUUUUUGGGCCGAGACUUCCAGGAACGCUUUCUCGGGGUUUGUGUGCGCGUAUUUCAAACAAUACAGACCUAAAUAUUAGAAUUCAUUCCAUCUUUAUUCCCCUAGAGCCUUCCAGCAGUUCCUAAACUGCUCCAGUCGGAGCACGUUAUCAUUCUUGUUAGUUCUCAGGGAAUUCCCUCGGUAUGAUCAUUCUUUCAUCAGUUUGUUCCCCGUUUCUUCUCUAGCCCGAGCCUAACACACUAUUCUAGCUACACAUGGGUGUGGCUCAUAACACCUGAUGACCAAACGGAUCUACGGCACCGUCGAAUCUCAAACUUUAACUGCCAAAACUAUUGUUUUUCAUCCUGUAGUCCCUUGUAGAAUUACUAAACGUCCUUUUUUGGGCCGAGAUUUCGAGGAACGCUUUGUCGGGGUCUGUGUGCAUGUAUUUCAAACCAUACGGACCUAAAAAUUAGAAUUCAUUCUAUCUUUGUUCCCCUAGAGCCUUCCAGCAGUUCCUAAACCGCUCUAGUCAGAGCAUGUUAUCAUUCUUGUUAGUUCUGAGCGAAUUCCCUCGGUAUGAUCAUUCUUUCAUCAGUUUGUUCCCUAUUUCUUCUCUAGCCUGAGCCUGACACACUAUUCUAGCUAGACAUGGGUGUGGCUCGUGACACCUGAUGACCAAACGGAUCUACGACACCGUCGAAUCUCAAACUUUAACUACUAAAACUAUUGUUUUUCAUUCUAUAGUCCCUUUUAAAUUACUAAACGUCAUUUUUUUGUUCGAGAUUUGCAGGAACGCUUUCUUGGGGUUUGUGUGCAUGUAUUUCAAAUCAUACGGACCUAAAAAUUAGAAUCCAUUCCAUCUUUAUUCCCCUAGAGCCUUCCAGCAGUUCGUUAACCGCUCCAGUCGGAGCACGUUAUCAUUAUUGUUAGUUCUGAGUGAAUUCCCUCGGUAUGAUCAUUCUUUGAUCAGUUUGUUCCUCGUUUCUUCUCUAGUCUAAGCCUAACACACUAUUCUAGCUAGACAUGGGUGUGGCUCGUAACACCCGAUGACCAAACGGAUCUACGGCACCGUCGAAUCUCAAACUUUAACUGCGAAAACUAUUGUUUUUCAUCCCGUAGUCCUUUUUAGAAUUACUAAACAUCCUUUUUUGGGACGAGAUUUCCAGGAACGCUUUCUCGGGGUUUGUGUGCGCGUGUUUCAAACCAUACGGACCUUAAAAUUAGAAUUCAUUCCAUCUUUAUUCCCCUAGAGCCUUCCAGCAGUUCCUAAACCGCUCCAGUCGGAGCACGUUAUCAUUCUUGUUAGUUCUGAGCAAAUUCCCUCGGUAUGAUCAUUCUUUCAUCAGUUUGUUCCCUGUUUCUUCUCUAGUAUGAGCCUAGCACACUAUUCUAGCUAUUAAUGGGUGUGUAUCGUGACACCUAAUGACCAAACGGAUCUACGGCACCAUCGAAUAUCAAACUUUAACUGCCAAAACUAUUGUUUUUCAUACUGUAGUCCCUUUUACAAUUAUUGAACGUCCCUUUUUGGGCCGAUAUUUCUAGGAACGCUUUCUCGGGGUUUGUGUGCAUGUAUUUCAAACCAAACGUUCCUUAAAAUUUGAAAGCAUUCCAUGUUUAUUCCCCUAGAGCCUUCCAGCAGUUCCUAAACCGCUCCAGUCGGAGCACGUUAUCAUUCUUGUCAGUUCUGAGCGAAUUCCCUCGGUAUGAUCAUUUUUUCAUCAGUUUGUUCCCUAUUUCUUCACUAGUCUGAGCCUCGCACACUAUUCUAGCUAUUAAUGGGUGUGGAUCGUAACACCUGAUGACCAAACGGAUCUACGGCACCGUCGAAUCUCAAACUUUAAUUGCCAAAACUAUUGUUUUUCAUUCUGUAGUCCCUUUUAAAUUACUAAACGUCAUUUUUUGGGCUGAGAUAUCCAACAACGCUUUCUCGGGGUUUGUGUGCAUGUAUUUCAAACCAAACGUUCCUAAAAAUUAGAAGUCAUUCCAUCUUUAUUCCCCUAGAGCCUUCCAGCAGUUCCUAAACAGCUCUAGACGGAGCACGUUAUCAUUCUUGUUAGUUCUGAGCGAAUUCCCUCGGUAUGAUCAUUCUUUCAUCAGUUUGUUCUGCAUUCUUCUCUAGUCUGAGCCUCGCACACUAUUCUAGCUAUCAAUGGGUGUGGAUCAUAACACUAAUGACCAAACGGAUCUACGACACCAUCGAAUCUCAAACUUUAACAGCCAAAACUAUUGUUUUUCAUCCUGUAGUCCCUUUUAGAAUUACUAAACGUCCUUUUUUGGGCCGAGAUUUCCAGGAACGCUUUCUCGGGGUUUGUGUGCAUGUAUUUCAAACCAUAUGGACCUAAAAAUUAGAAGUCAUUCCAUCUUUAUUCCCCUAGAGCCUUCCAGCAGUUCCUAAACUGCUCUAGUCGGAGCAUGUUAUCAUUCUUGUUAGUUCUGAGUGAAUUCCCUCGGUAUGAUCAUUCUUUCAUCAGUUUGUUCCCCAUUUCUUCGCUAGUCUGAGCCUAGCACACUAUUCUAGAUAGACAUGGGUGUGGGUCUUAACACCUGAUGACCAAACGGAUCUACGGCACCCUCGAAUCUGAAACUUUAACUGCCAAAACUAUUGUUUUUCAUCUUGUAGUCCCUUUUAGAAUUACUAAACGUCCUUUUUUGGGACGAGAUUUCCAGAAUGCUUUCUCGGGGUUUGUGUGCAUGUAUUUCAAACCAAACGUUCCUAAAAAUUAAAAGUCAUUCCAUCUUUAUUCCCCUAGAGCCUUCCAGCAGUUCCUAAACAGCUCUAGUCGGAGCAUGUUAUCAUUCUUGUUAGUUCUGAGUGAAUUCCCUCGGUAUGAUCAUUCUUUCAUCAGUUUGUUCCCCGUUUCUUCUCUAGUCUGAGCCUAGCACACUACUCUAGCUAGACAUGGGUUUGGCUCGUAACACCUGAUAACCAAACGGGUCUACGACACCAUCGAAUCUCAAACUUUUUUGGGCCGAGAUUUCCAGGAACGCUUUCUCGNNNNNNNNNNUCGCUAGCCUAAGCCUGACACACUAUUCUAGCUACACAUGGGUGUGGCUCGUGACACCUAAUGACCAAACAGAUCUACGGCACCGUCGAAUCUCAAACUUUAACUACCAAAACUAUUGUUUUUCAUUCUGUAGUCCCUUUUAAAUUACUAAACGUCAUUUUUUGGGCCGAGAUUUCUAGGAACGCUUUCUCAGGGUUUGUGUGCAUGUAUUUCAAGUCAUAUGGACCUAAAAAUUAGAAUCCAUUCCAUCUUUAUUCCCCUAGAGCCUUCCAGCAGUUCCUAAACCGCUCCAGUCGGAGCACAUUAUCAUUAUUGUUAGUUCUGAGUGAAUUCCCUCGGUAUGAUCAUUCUUUCAUCAGUUUGUUCCCCGUUUCUGCUCUAGUCUGAGCUUAACACACUAUUCUAGCUAGACAUGGGUGUGGCUCGUAACACCUGAUGACCAAACGGAUCUACGAUACCGUCGAAUCUCAAACUUUAACUACGAAAACUAUUGUUUUUCAUUCUAUAGUCCCUUUUAGAAUUACUAAACGUCCUUUUUUGGGCCGAGAUUUCCAGGAACGCUUUCUCGGGGUUUGUGUGCACGUAUUUCAAACAAUACGGACCUAAAAAUUAGAAUUCAUUCCAUCUUUAUUCCCCUAGAGCCUUCCGGCAGUUCCUAAACCGCUCAAGUCGGAGCACUUUAUCAUUCUUGUUAGUUCUCAGCGAAUUCCCUCGGUAUGAUCAUUCUUUCAUCAGUUUGUUCCCCAUUUCUUCUCUAGCCUGAGCCUAACACACUAUUCUAGCUACAAAUGGGUGUGGCUCGUCACACCCGAUGACCAAACGGAUCUACGGCACCGUUGAAUCUCAAACUUUAACUGCGAAAACUAUUGUUUUUCAUCCUGUAGUCCUUUUUAGAAUUACUAAACGUCCUUUUUUGGGACGAGAUUUCCGGGAACGCUUUCUCGAGGUUUGUGUGCGCGUAUUUCAAACCAUACGAACCUUAAAAUUAGAAUUCAUUCCAUCUUUAUUCCCCUAGAGCCUUCCAGCAGUUCCUAAACCGCUCCAGUCGGAGCACGUUAUCAUUCUUGUUAGUUCUGAGCGAAUUCCCUCGGUAUGAUCAUUCUUUCAUCAGUUUGUUCCUUGUUGCUUCUCUAGCCUGAGCCUGAUACACUAUUCUAGCUAGACAUGGGUGUGGCUCGUGACACCUGAUAACCAAACGGAUCUACAGCACCGUCGAAUCUCAAACUUUAACUACCAAAACUAUUGUUUUCAUUCUGUAGUCCCUUUUAAAUUACUAAACGUCAUUUUUUCGGCCGAGAUUUCCAGGAACGCUUUCUUGGGGUUUGUGUGCAUGUAUUUCAAAUCAUAAGGACCUAAAAAUUAGAAUCCAUUCCAUCUUUAUUUCCCUAGAGCCUUCCAGCAGUUCCUAAACCGCUCCAGUCAGAGCAUGUUAUCAUUAUUGUUAGUUCUGAGUGAAUUCCCUCGGUAUGAUCAUUAUUUCAUCAGUUUGUUCCCCGUUUCUUCUCUAGUCUGAGCCUAACACACUAUUCUAGCUAGACAUGGGUGUGGCUCGUAACACCCGAUGACCAAACGGAUCUACGGCACCGUCGAAUCUCAAACUUUAACUGCGAAAACUAUUGUUUUUCAUCCUUUAGUCCUUUUUAGAAUUACUAAACGUCCUUUUUUGGGACGAGAUUUCCAGGAACGCUUUCUCGGGGUUUGUGUGCGCGUAUUUAAAACCAUACGAACCUUAAAAUUAGAAUUCAUUCCAUCUUUAUUCCCCUAGAGCCUUCCAGUAGUUCCUAAACCGCUCCAGUCGGAGCACCUUAUCAUUCUUGUUAGUUCUGAGCAAAUUCCCUCGGUAUGAUCAUUCUUUCAUCAGUUUGAUCCCCGUUUCUUCUCUAGUCUGAGCCUAGCACACUAUUCUAGCUAUUAAUGGGUGUGGAUCGUAACACCUAAUGACCAAACGGAUCUACGUCACCAUCGAAUCUCAAACUUUAACUACCAAAACUAUUGUUUUUCAUCCUGUAGUCCCUUAAAAUUAGAAUUCAUUCCAUCUUUAUUCCCCUAGAGCCUUCCAGUAGUUCCUAAACCGCUCCAGUCGGAGCACAUUAUCAUUCUUGUUUGUUCUAAGCGAAUUCCCUCAGUAUGAUCAUUCUUUCAUCAUUUUGUUCCCGGUUUCUUCUCUAGUCUGAGUCUAGCACACUAUUCUAGCUAGACAUGGGUGUGGCUCGUAACACCUGAUGACCAAACGGAUCUACGGCAUCGUCGAAUCUCAAACUUUAAUUGCCAAAACUAUUGUUUUUCAUCCUGUAGUCUCUUUUAAAUUUACUAAACGUCCUUUUUUGGGCUGAGAUUUCCUGGAACGCUUUCGUGCGGUUUGUGUGCAAGUAUUUCAAAUCAUACGGACCUAUAAAUUAGAAGUCAUUUCAUCUUUAUUCCCCUAGAGCCUUUGAGCGGUUCCUAAACCGCUCUAGUCGGAGCAUGUUAUCAUUCUUGUUAGUUCUGAGUGAAUUCCCUCGGUAUGAUAAUUCUUUCAUCAGUUUGUUCCCCGUUUCUUCUCUAGUCUGAGCCUAGCACACUACUCUAGCUAGACAUGGGUUUGGCUCGUAACACCUGAUAACCAAACGGGUCUACGACACCAUCGAAUCUCAAACUUUUUUGGGCCGAGAUUUCCAGGAACGCUUUCUCGGGGUUUGUGUGCACGUAUUUCAAAUCAUGCGGACCUAAAAAUUAGAAGUCAUUCCAUAUUUAUUCCCCUAGAGCCUUCCAGCAGUUCCUAAAUCGCUCUAGUCCGAGCAUGUUAUCAUUCUUGUUAGUUCUGAGCGAAUUCCCUCGCUAUGAUCAUUCUUUCAUCAGUUUGUUCUGCGUUUCUUCUCUAGUCUGAGCCUAGCACACUAUUCUAGCUAUUAAUGGGUGUGGAUCGUAACACAUAAUGACCAAACGGAUCUACGGUACCUUCGAAUCUCAAACUUUAACUGCCAAAACUAUUGUUUUUCAUCCUGUAGUCCCUUUUCGAAUUAUUAAACGUCCUCUUUUGGGCCGAGAUUUCUAGGAACGCUUUCUAGGGGUUGGUGUGCAUGUAUUUCAAAUCAUACGGACCUAAAAAUUAGAAGGCAUUUCAUCUUUAUUCCCCUAGAGCCUUCCAACAGUUCCUAAGCCGCUCCAGUCGGAGCAUGUUAUCAUUCUUGUUAGUUCUGAGCGAAUUCCCUCGGUAUGAUCAUUCUUUCAUUAGUUUGUUCCCUAUUUCUUCUCUAGCCUUAGCCUGACACACUAUUCUAGCUAGAAAUGGGUGUGUCUCGUGACACCUAAUGACCAAACGGAUCUACGGCACCGUCGAAUCUCAAACUUUAACUACCAAAACUAUUAUUUUUCAUUCUGUAGUCCCUUUGAAAUUACUAAAUGUCAUUUUUUGGGCCGAGAUUUCCAGGAACGCUUUCUCGGGGUUUGUGUGCAUGUAUUUCAAGUCAUACGGACCUAAAAAUUAAAAUCCAUUCCAUCUUUAUUCCCCUAGAGCCUUCCAGCAGUUCCUAAACCGCUCCAGUCGGAGCAUGUUAUCAUUAUUGUUAGUGCUGAGUGAAUUCCCUCGGUAUGAUCAUUCUUUCAUCAGUUUGGUCCCUGUUUCUUCUCUAGUCUGAGCCUAACACACUAUUCUAGCUAGACAUGGGUGUGGCUCGUAACACCUGAUGACCAAACGGAUCUACGGCACCGUCGAAUCUCAAACUUUAACGACGAAAACUAUUGUUUUUCAUUCUAUAAUCCCUUUUAGAAUUACUAAACGUCCUUUUUUGGGACGAGAUUUCCAGGAACGCUUUCUCCGGGUUUGUGUGUGAGUAUUUCAAACAAUACGGACCUAAAAAUUUGAAUUCAUUCCAUCUUUAUUGCCCUAGAGCCUUCCAGCAGUUCCGAAACCGCUCCAGUCGGAGCACGUUAUCAUUCUUGUUAGUUCUCAGGGAAUUCCCUUGGUAUGAUCAUUCUUUCAUCAGUUUGUUCCCCGUUUCUUCUCUAGCCUGAGCCUAACACACUAUUCUAGCUACACAUGGGUGUGGCUCCUAACACCUGAUGACCAAACGGAUCUAUGGCACCGUCGAAUCUCAAACUUUAACUGCCAAAACUAUUGUUUUUCAUCCUGUAGUCCCUUGUAGAAUUACUAAACGUCCUUUUUUGGGUCUAGAUUUCGAGGAACACUUUGCCGGGGUUUGUGUGCACGUAUUUCAAACCAUACGGACCUAAAAGUUAGAAGUCAUUCAGUCUUUGUUCCCCUAGAGCCUUCCAGCAGUUCCUAAACCGCUCCAGUCGGAGCAUGUGAUCGUUCUUGUUAGUUCUGAGCGAAUUCCCUCGUUAUGAUCAUUCUUUCAUCAGUUUGUUCCCUGUUUCUUCUCUAUCCUGAGCCUGACACACUAUUCUAGCUAGACAUGGGUGUGGCUCGUGACACCUGAUGACCAAACGGAUCUACGGCACCGUCGAAUCUCAAACUUUAACUACCAAAACUAUUGUUUUUCAUUCUGUAGUCCCUUUUAAAUUACUAAACAUCAUUUUUUGGACAGAGAUUUCGAGGAAUGCUUUCUCGGGGUUUGUGUGCAUGUAUUUCAAAUCAUACGGGCCUAAAAAUUAGAAUCCAUUCCAUCUUUAUUCCCCUGGAGCCUUCCAGCAGUUCCUAAACCGCUCCAGUCGGAGCAUGUUAUCAUUAUUGUUAGUUCUGAGUGAAUUCCCUCGGUAUGAUCAUUCUUUCAUCAGUUUGCUCCCCGUUUCUUCUCUAGUCUGAGCCUAACACACUAUUCUAGCUAGACAUGGGUGUGGCUCGUAACACCUGAUGACCAAACGGAUCUACGGCACCCUCGAAUCUCAAACUUUAACUGCCAAAACUAUUGUUUUUCAUCUUGUAGUCCCUUUUAGAAUUACUAAACAUCCUUUUUUGGGCCGAGAUUUCCAGGAACGCUUUCUCGGGGUUUGUGUGCAUGUAUUUCAAACCAAACGUUCCUAAAAAUUAGAAGGCAUUCCAUCUUUAUUCCCCUAGAGCCUUCCAGAAGUUCCUAAACAGCUCUAGUCGGAGCAUGUUAUCAUUCUUGUUAUUUCUGAGUGAAUUCCCUCGGUAUGAUCAUUCUUUCAUCAGCAUCAGUUUGUUUUGCGUUUCUUCUCUAGUCUGAGCCUAGCACACUAUUCUAGCUAUUAAUGGGUGUGGAUCGUAACACCUAAUGACCAAACGGAUCUACGGCACCAUCGAAUCUCAAACUUUAACUGCCAAAACUAUUGUUUUUCAUCCUGUAGUCCCUUUCCGAAUUAUUAAACGUUCUUUUUUGGGCCGAGAUUUCC
rnacentral:lncRNA from 1 species